AUCUGGCCGAACAACAAAACAUGAAAAACAGCUCAAGAGUUCUUCAAAUUCCUCCAUCAAAUCUUCACCAAAUCAUCUCCAAAUUCAACCAAACUUGCACCACACUUAGAUUAACACUUGAGGAGUAUUUUGAGCUGCAAAAGGGAACUGAAAAGCCACGGUUUUCUGGAGCAAAGAGUGACAAAAAAUUUCUGAUCUAGUCAUCCAAGAAGGCGCUCAAGGGGACCUUCAAGAAGAACUCGAAGUGGACGCCUAGACACUUGUUUGAGUAUUUACUCUCUUGUUGCAAUAGGACUGGGCUCGGUCGGGUAGGUUGG